AGAGGGGGCAAGCGUUAUUCGGAAUUAUUGGGCGUAAAGGGCGCGUAGGCGGCUUGGCAAGUGGAAGGUGAAAUCCCUCGGCUUAACCGAGGAACUGCCCUCCAAACUGCUUUGCUUGAGGCCGGGAGAGGUGAGUGGAAUUCCCAGUGUAGCGGUGAAAUGCGUAGAUAUUGGGAGGAACACCAGUGGCGAAGGCGGCUCACUGGACCGGUUCUGACGCUGAGGCGCGAAAGCGUGGGGAGCAAACGGGAUUAGAUACCCCGGUAGUCCACGCCGUAAACGAUGAGUGCUUGGUGUAGCGGGUAUCGACCCCUGCUGUGCCGAAGUCAACACAUUAAGCACUCCGCCUGGGGAGUACGGUCGCAAGGCUG
rnacentral:rRNA from 1 species